rnacentral:rRNA from 1 species
AUUGAACGCUGGCGGCAUGCCUUACACAUGCAAGUCGAACGGCAGCACGGGAGCAAUCCUGGUGGCGAGUGGCGAACGGGUGAGUAAUAUAUCGGAACGUGCCCAGUCGUGGGGGAUAACGUAGCGAAAGCUACGCUAAUACCGCAUACGAUCUAUGGAUGAAAGCGGGGGAUCGCAAGACCUCGCGCGAUUGGAGCGGCCGAUAUCAGAUUAGGUAGUUGGUGAGGUAAAGGCUCACCAAGCCGACGAUCUGUAGCUGGUCUGAGAGGACGACCAGCCACACUGGGACUGAGACACGGCCCAGACUCUUACGGGAGGCAGCAGUGGGGAAUUUUGGACAAUGGGCGCAAGCCUGAUCCAGCAAUGCCGCGUGCAGGAUGAAGGCCUUCGGUUGUAACUG